GCCUGGGUGGCUCAGUCGGUUGAGCAUCUGACUUCGGCUCAGGUCAUGAUCUCGCAGUCUGUGAGUUCAAGCCCCGUGUCAGGCU
rnacentral:tRNA from 1 species